UGGGGAAUAUUGCACAAUGGGGGAAACCCUGAUGCAGCAACGCCGCGUGAGUGAAGAAGUCAUUCGUGAUGUAAAGCUCUAUCAGCAGGGAAGAAAAUGACGGUACCUGAGUAAGAAGCCCCGGCUAACUACGUGCCAGCAGCCGCGGUAAUACGUAGGGGGCAAGCGUUAUCCGGAUUUACUGGGUGUAAAGGGAGCGUAGACGGCCAGACAAGUCUGAAGUGAAAAUCCAGCGCUUAACGUUGGAAGUGCUUUGGAAACUGCCGGGCUAGAGUGCAGGAGGGGCAGGCGGAAUUCCUAGUGUAGCGGUGAAAUGCGUAGAUAUUAGGAGGAACACCAGUGGCGAAGGCGGCCUGCUGGACUGCAACUGACGUUGAGGCUCGAAGGCGUGGGGAGCAAACAGG
rnacentral:rRNA from 1 species